UAAGUGCUGAAAGCAUCUAAGCACGAAACUCGCCUUAAGAUGAGUUCUCCCUAGCUAUAAGCUAGUAAGGGUUGUUGGAGACUACGACGUAGAUAGGUCUGGUGUGUAAGCGGUGUGAGCCGUUGAGCUAACAGAUACUAAUUGCCCGAGAGGCUUAACUAU
rnacentral:rRNA from 1 species